rnacentral:lncRNA from 1 species
GGCAGCACUUCUUGUUAAGGAAUGGGGAAGCUUCUUAUGAAUCUAAUCUUACUCUAAUGUUAGGAAAUCAGCAGUGGUCCCUUGGAUUACUCUACAAAGCUAGUAGGCAGCUUUGGUUCAGUUAUGACUCAGUGAAGGUUAGAGAAUUAUAUCUACAAAGUAGGAUCUUUUUCUUUCUUUCUUUCGUUUUUUGAUACGGAGUUUCGCUCUUGUUGCCCAGGCUGGAAUGUAAUAGCGCGAUCUCGGCUCACUGCAACCUCUGCCUCCCGGGUUCAAGCGAUUCUCCUGCCUCAGCCUCUUGAUGCCUGGCGAAUUUUUUUUGUAUUUUUAGUAGUGACGGGGUUUCACCAUGUUGGCCAGGCUGGUCUGGAACUCCUGACCUCAAGUGAUCCACCUGUAUCGGCCUUCCGAAGUGCUGGGGUGGUGUGAGCCACCGCGCCCUGCCAGAUCUUUCUUGUUUGACUUUCAUUGCUAAGAAUUUGGAAUCAUAUUCUAAGAACUCAGCCACUCAGGUAUCCACCAUGGUGCUG